ensembl:lncRNA
AUGGAUUGCGGUUCUGCUAACUUCUGUUUUAUUUGCAUUUGUUUUCAGGGUACAUUAAACUGUCUCCCUCAUCAACCCCCAGUGGGUCAAAUUAAGACCCCUGUCCAGUGUGUGGAGAACCCUAAAGGAUUGGGUGGGGUGAUAAUAAAUGACCGGGAGAUGUUUGCAAUGAACAAACAACACUUGGUAGCAGUUCUUCUCUCUAGAGGUGAAAAACUCUGUCAGACCAGUUCUGUUGCAAGUGAAGACGAUAAAGAGAAACGCCUCCCAAGACCUUAACAUCUCACCUUUUAUACUUCAAAUAAAGGUCUUUUACCAUCAUCUGUGUCUUCUGUC